rnacentral:sRNA from 1 species
AAGGAGGUGCAGACAAGGACCCUCUUGCUUUCCUCACUAUGGAUAGUCUGUUGCCUCCAUCUAGAUUCUCUUAUUUCAAAAAAUAUCCUCUCCAUGCAAUUAGGAGAUAUUUAUCGACGCUGAGAAACCAAAGAGCCGAAGAACAGAUUCUCUUGCAGCAAGUGUUUCACAAAGCCAAAUCCCCACAUAUGUAGAAGAUUAACAGCAUUAAUGAGAUGAAGAUGCUGAAGGAGGAAAGCUGACAAGGAGUCAGAAAACACAGGCCAGCUAAUUUAAUCUACAAGAAUUUGGGAUGACCUGUACAAAUGUCUCGCUCUCUUGAACAGAGAUUUUUUUUUUUCUGAUUGAGAAAUACCAUUCAAGGGCUAAUCUGACAAGUCUUGCCUGUUUAACAGUGAAUCUGCUUAAAAUGAGGAGAGUGGUCUUUGGGCCCGGGGGCAUGUACUGUAGCUACAUUUUAAUUACAGAGUAGAAUCAAAUUUUGUUUUGGAAGCUGUUCUAAAGUUUCCUUUCAAUGGCUUAAGAAAAUGUUUCUAGUUGGAACGGGAUCACUGGAUUUUUUUUUCUUUGCU